GAUGAACGCUGGCGGCGUGCCUAAUACAUGCAAGUCGAGCGAACGGACGAGAAGCUUGCUUCUCUGAUGUUAGCGGCGGACGGGUGAGUAACACGUGGAUAACCUACCUAUAAGACUGGGAUAACUUCGGGAAACCGUAGCUAAUACCGGAUAAUAUUUUGAACCGCAUGGUUCAAAAGUGAAAGACGGUCUUGCUGUCACUUAUAGAUGGAUCCGCGCUGCAGUAGCUAGUUGGUAAGGUCACGGCUUACCAAGGCAACGAUGCAUAGCCGACCUGAGAGGGUGGUCGGCCACACUGGAACUGAGACACGGUCCAGACUCCUACGGGAGGCAGCAGUAGGGAAUCUUCCGCAAUGGGCGAAAGCCUGACGGAGCAACGCCGCGUGAGUGAUGAAGGUCUUCGGAUCGUAAAACUCUGUUAUUAGGGAAGAACAUAUGUGUAAGUAACUGUGCACAUCUUGACGGUACCUAAUCAGAAAGCCACGGCUAACUACGUG
rnacentral:rRNA from 1 species